UACGUAGGGUGCAAGCGUUAAUCGGAAUACUGGGCGUAAAGCGUGCGCAGGCGGUUAUGUAAGACAGUUGUGAAAUCCCCGGGCUCAACCUGGGAACUGCAUCUGUGACUGCAUAGCUAGAGUACGGUAGAGGGGGAUGGAAUUCCGCGUGUAGCAGUGAAAUGCGUAGAGAUGUGGAGGAACACCGAUGGCGAAGGCAGCCCCCUGGGUCAAGAUUGACGCUCAUGCACGAAAGCGUGGGGAGCAAACAGG
rnacentral:rRNA from 1 species